rnacentral:rRNA from 1 species
UACGAAGGGGGCUAGCGUUGUUCGGAAUUACUGGGCGUAAAGCGCACGUAGGCGGUUAUUUAAGUCAGGGGUGAAAUCCCGGGGCUCAACCCCGGAACUGCCUUUGAUACUGGAUAUCUCGAGUCCGAGAGAGGUGAGUGGAAUUCCGAGUGUAGAGGUGAAAUUCGUAGAUAUUCGGAGGAACACCAGUGGCGAAGGCGGCUCACUGGCUCGGUACUGACGCUGAGGUGCGAAAGCGUGGGGAGCAAACAGG